rnacentral:rRNA from 1 species
GAUGAACGCUGGCGGCGUGCCUAACACAUGCAAGUCGAACGGAGCUGCUUUGAUGAAGUUUUCGGAUGGAUUUAAAACAGCUUAGUGGCGGACGGGUGAGUAACGCGUGGGUAACCUGCCUCACACUGGGGGAUAACAGUUAGAAAUAGCUGCUAAUACCGCAUAAGCGCACAGCUUCGCAUGGAACAGUGUGAAAAACUCCGGUGGUGUGAGAUGGACCCGCGUCUGAUUAGCCAGUUGGCGGGGUAACGGCCCACCAAAGCGACGAUCAGUAGCCGGCCUGAGAGGGUGAACGGCCACAUUGGGACUGAGACACGGCCCAAACUCCUACGGGAGGCAGCAGUGGGGAAUAUUGCACAAUGGGGGAAACCCUGAUGCAGCGACGCCGCGUGAGUGAAGAAGUAUUUCGGUAUGUAAAGCUCUAUCAGCAGGGAAGAAAGUGACGGU